GACGAACGCUGGCGGCGUGCUUAACACAUGCAAGUCGAGCGGUAAGGCCCUUUCGGGGUACACGAGCGGCGAACGGGUGAGUAACACGUGGGUGACCUGCCCUCAGCUCUGGGAUAAGCUUGGGAAACCGGGUCUAAUACUGGAUAUGACUCCAUGACGCAUGUUGUGGGGUGGAAAGCCUUGUGCGGCUGAGGAUGGGCCCGCGGCCUAUCAGCUUGUUGGUGGGGUGAUGGCCUACCAAGGCGACGACGGGUAGCCGGCCUGAGAGGGCGACCGGCCACACUGGGACUGAGACACGGCCCAGACUCCUACGGGAGGCAGCAGUGGGGAAUCUUGCGCAAUGGGCGAAAGCCUGACGCAGCGACGCCGCGUGAGGGAUGACGGCCUCGGUUGUAA
rnacentral:rRNA from 1 species